UACAAAGGGGGCUAGCGUUGCUCGGAAUUACUGGGCGUAAAGCGCACGUAGGCGGCUUUCUAAGUCGGGGGUGAAAUCCUGGAGCUCAACUCCAGAACUGCCUUCGAUACUGGAAAGCUCGAGUCCGGGAGAGGUGAGUGGAACUGCGAGUGUAGAGGUGAAAUUCGUAGAUAUUCGCAAGAACACCAGUGGCGAAGGCGGCUCACUGGCCCGGUACUGACGCUGAGGUGCGAAAGCGUGGGGAGCAAACAGG
rnacentral:rRNA from 1 species